CAUUUUCUCUUACUGUUUUUCUGAUUUCUAGGCGCUUUUUGGCAUUACCCUGAUGGUAAAGGCUCGGAAAUUGGGAUUUUUCUCGAGGGUUCUUUGCAAUUUUCAUUUUUUUCUACUG